rnacentral:lncRNA from 1 species
GAUAUUAGGCUUGUCUUUCAGAAUGAUGAGGUCUCUCUCAGAACUUUGGAGACCUCUCAUCAGGAAAUGAGAGGUGUUAUUUGAAAGAAUUUCCUCAGAAAAUGUGGGUCUCUACUUCAGAACUGGGGGACCCCUCUGAGAAUUGCAGUCUUCCCUCAGAAUCAGGGCAAUGGCUCGCCUUAGAAAAGGGGUCUUCCUCUCAGAUUUGGGGAGAUUUCCUAUUAAAGUGGGAGAUGGUGUACCCUUGGAAUGAGGGGGUCUCAUGGAGGGGGGGAGUGCCUCAAGAAUUGAAGUUUCUCCCUUAGAAUGGGGGGAAUUUUCUCAGGAAAUAGGAAUUCACUCCCUGGGAGAGAGGUGUCUCCCCUGAAAUGGGAGGGGAAUCUCCUCAGGAAAUGGGGAGGUUCUCCCCCUCACCUUCCCUUUCGCCCCUCCCUCCCGACCUCCCUGCCCCCCCAGCUUUCUCCCCGGACCCGCCUUUUUCCCGCCUUUUCCUCUCCGCGCGUCGAAAGCCUAUUGGUCGAAAGGAAGCACCGCCCCCUGCACUGCCCCCUUCUCUGAGGGCUGCGGGGCGGGGCCUCGGAAGCCGUUGGCCUUGGGCGUGCGCGAGCUCCGCCAUCUCACGCGCCAGCGCCUCUGAAUCAUCCUCAGUCAUUAGCGCAUGCGUCCCGCAACCGCACCUCACCUAUGUUAUCCCCCCCCUUCCCCCCCAGGGAAGUCCCUAGAGGGAAUAGUCUGUGCUCACUCCCUAGAAUGACCUCGCUCGUCAUCCACCCUCCCCCGGCUCCAUGUCGGCGCAUGCGCAAGCCAGAGCGCCACCUAAAGGGAAACUGCACCACCCCACCCCGAGUGCGCAUGCGUCUUCCCGCCAAUGAAGUACCACCAGGAGGCCCGGUUGCUGGCCCUGCGCAUGUGCACCAGGCUCAAUGACAACCAAACCUUUCUAAGCGCCGGCCCUGUGGUCCUCCCCCCGCCCCCACCGCAGGGAGCUGGCACUCAGCAUGCUCCGGGCAGCCCGGGCAGCCUGGGGGGCCGGGUGGUGGGGCUGCCCCCGGCCCCCACUGAGGCCCUGGUCCUCCGAGGCUGCUUCCCGGCCCCACUCCUCCCUGAUCAUCAAGAUGGGGGAAUAUCGGAAGAUGUGGAAUCCCACGGAACCCCGGAACUGGGCCCAGCAGUAUCAAGAGCGCUUCAUCCCCUUCUCCAAGGACCAGCUGCUGCAGCUCCUCCUUCAGGUUAUCUGGGGAACUACAACUCCCAGCAGCCCCUGGGGCAAUCAAAGCCCCCAUCCCUCCCUGGCCCAGAGAAGCUGCUCCCGGACCUUGCUGGGAGUUGUAGUUUCCACCAAACACCAGAAUUGGUUCAGCAGACGCCCCCUUGCAGUUUAGUUCACAGCUGGGAGGGGCGAGGUGCUGGAGCAAACUAAAAUUUCAGGGGGUUCUGGGGACUUUGGGGCGCUGAAGUGACUAACCCCAAGGGAUGCUGGG